UCUCUCCCACUACAUUUCCCUCUUCGCUACUCCCCUCCCCAUCCCUCUCUCAUUGCCGCUCCGCCAGCCGCGCCUCAGCCGCUCUCCCUCGCGGUCGUGGACAACCAAAGCACUGAUUCACCUCGAUUUGCCCUAUUUUCUCUCUCUAUAUUCAUAUAUCUGUCUAUCCAUCAACGGCGAGACGGAUGACGUGCCAGAGAGAGAGAAUGAGUGAAAAGAGAUUUGGGUUAUUUACAUAAUUCCAAUCAGGUCCUUCCUUCUUUCUUUCUAUCCGAUCCGUAAUAAGUCCCCUGUAUCAUUACUUUAUUUCUUCUUUUUCUUUGUUUUUCUUUCACUUUCUUUUUCCGUUUCACAGUCGAGAAAAUAAAUAGUGGCAAUUUUCUCAUUUCCUUUCAUCAGUUACAUAACUGCCGGAAACAUAUCCAUAACAACCUUUAGGUCAUUUCUACAUUUGACAAACUUUUCUGGGGAUUUAGGGGCUUAUUUUGCCCAUUUCAGAGGCGGAUUUGGGUGUGGUGAGGAUUAAGAAGGGUUUUGGAUCGAUUUGGGUUUGUAAUUGGUGGUUUUCCUCGGGUUGAAUAACUGAGAUAUGUUAAAAGAUCAAUCCUAUCUGAUUUCAAGGGCUUUUCUGAUUUCAAUCGCAGCAUGUGGUGGCCAAGUAUUCAGUUCUUGGAAAUGGUAAUCAGCCUUUGGAUGAUAAGGACCUUGAUCAAUUCAUUGCGAGGCUCUUCACUUGGUUCAUACUUGUAUGUAUGUCUAUAUAAUUUCUCUUUAUGUUUAUGGUUAUAUGUAGAUUUUGUUCAAAUUUGAUUGUUUUGUUAUUGCAAUAUGAUGUGAUUUGUCAAAUUAGAACAAUAGUUUGAUGUUUGGUUUAUCAACCCUGUGCUGUGCACAACUUCUUCUAAUUAUCUGUUGCUUCAAA